rnacentral:lncRNA from 1 species
AACCCAUCAUUUAAGAUCAUCUCAACUUACCCAUUCUUUACCUUUGUUCUUCUGCCUUUAUAGUUUGCCACGCACUCCAAGGGGGUGGAUUUCCUGAGGAACUGAGUUAAGUACCACCUCCUUUCCUCCUUACGCUACGGAAUCUUGCCAUCUGGCCAUGGAGGGAAGUCAAGCAGACAGUGUGUUGAGUGCCUUAUCCACCCCUCCACUGCUCUGUGUGAAGUCUAUCUUUGACUCAUUGGUGGGAAGAUGGAAAAUGUGGUGUGGCUACCGGAAAAUUGAAAAUUACAUAUAUGGUUCCCAGUGUGUAUUCCUAUUGGACAACUCUGAUGUAGAAUACAAGUCUUGCCUCUCUGCCGAGUGUUCUCUGCAUCCUGCACCGAAAGGGAGAAUGUCAAAAGAUGUAUAGUUUAUACCUUCCAUAGAUAAUGGAGGAUUGUUUAUUGCAUAAUUGCACAUAGAUAUUCAUGCCUGAGGUGUCUCCUUGGAGUUAUUUUUUGCUGUUAUGCAUCAUUACUACUAAGGGUCAAGUUGUUCUUCUUGCCUCCUCCUCAGGAAGACUUAGAACAAAAAAUAAAUAAGC